GCCUGGGUGGCUCAGUCGGUUAAGCGUCUGACUUCAGCUCAGGUCAUGAUCUCAUGGUUCGUGAGUUUGAGCCCCAUGUCAGGCU
rnacentral:tRNA from 1 species